CAGAGCUGAAACACAUGGGUAGCACCAUUAUCAAUGUGUCUUCAUUAAAAGUUACUAAUCAUUAAGAGAUGGAGACAGCAGCCCUGGUAGCUCCAGCCACAGCUCUGGAGUUUCUUCAGGAUGCAUUUCUCCUGACAGGUGAGGGUCCAGUCUUGACGGUGUACAGUCUCCAACCUCGCCCUAAAGCCUGUGCUUCACUAAGUGUGCUCCAACACUACAGAAUCCAUGGAAUAAGACCCAGAAAUCAGCCCACUGUCCCAGCUCAGAGCUCUGCCUCAGGAACCUGCGGGAAGAACAAACAUGGACUGAGCUCCACCACAGAGCCCAACUUCUAUGACAUAGCAGUGUUUGGAGGCAAAGCUGUGAGGCUGCUGAGGCUCCAUGUGGAUCUAGAGGACGGGGACCAUCUGCACUUGGAGAUCUUGGGUCCCCUCAUGGAGUUACAGGACUGGGCCCUGGAUGUCCGCUGGCUUUCUGGAGACAAACACUCACUCCUCUGUGUUGCUGUAGCCCACAAUAGUGCUCUUCUCCUAGAUGCCAAUACAGGAACUGCCCUGGUUCAGCGCUCCUGUCUGGAGGGUUGUCUGCUGUACUCUGCCCUCCUUUUAGUACAUGAAUCUUGGGCAGAUGCCGUCUUAGUGGGAGGGACUGUUUUCAACCAGCUGGUUCUCUGGAAGCCAGGAGGAGGAGGAGGGAAGGAUUCUGAGUGCAAAGCGCCAGUUGAGAGACGUCUGCUCGGCCACAGCGGGGUCAUCUUCAGUAUCUCAUACCUCCAGGAGAAAGGAUGGCUGGCUUCAGCGUCUGAUGACCGCAGUGUUAGGGUUUGGGGUGUCGGUGCUUUAGGGGGCCCUGGAGGUAAAUGUGGGGACUUGAACCCAGCUUGUUUAAGGGUCCUAUAUGGACACCAGGCUAGGGUGUUCUCAGUGCGUCUCUCCUCUGGGACAGUGUUCAGCGCAGGGGAAGACGGGGCUUGUUUAGUCUGGGACUGGGCUGGAGGCGGGAAGGUGGUGAGGACGCUUAAGGGGCACAGGGCAGGGGGGGUACGUGCACUGGCAGUCAGUCAGGGAGCAGGAGAUGAAGAAAGAUGGGUGGCUACAGGGGGCGCAGAUGGAGGGGUGAGGUUGUGGAGGUUGAAGGAGAAUGAGGAGACGAAGGAGAAAACAGAGGAAGCAGUGACAGAGAAACUAACUGACCUGAAAUUCCCUGGUCACAGCACACCCAAAGGGGUUUGUAUAUUAGGAGAAGAGGAUGAAAAUACAAGUUGGAAUCAGAGUAAAAUUGUGGUUUGCACUGAUCACGGAAUAGUCUAUCAAUACAGCAAUGGGCAGUGGGAGAUUGUGUGGCAAGGGACUCCUGAGUUUCAGUCCUACUGUGUGAUGGAAACAGUAUCCAUCACUGUAAAAGACUCAACAACCAAAGUUCAUUUGUGUGCUGUGGGAAACCUCACCGGGUCCAUUCAGGUCUUCCCUAUUUCUCAUCCUCAAUCUGGGAUUGUUCUCACAGGUGGAUCCGGGAAGAUCCAUAGUCUUAUUUGGCAAGAGGGAGAAGGUGGCAUGUGUCUGCUGGUAUCAGGUGCUGAAGGACUCGUCUAUCGCUGGUGUGUAGAGGUAAAAUUAAAUGCAAACAGUUCCUUAGACCUCAGCGUGCAUCCUCUUCCUCCUUUCCUCCUUCCCCCCUGUGCCAAACGCUGGCUGUUGGCUGCAGUGUGCCUCCAGUCCAGGUCGCAGGAGGCGCUGUGGGUUUGCGGGGACAGGAGAGGGUCCCUGCUUUUGUUUCAGGAAGCAGAAAAACUCGGGCAAAAGAAAGGAGAUGACGCACAAGCGGAUGAAGGUUUGCUAACAUGCACAGAACAGCGUGAAGAUGAGGAAAAUGGAGGUGAUGGAGAUGGGAAAAGCAGUAUCAUGGAGCAGAGGGAGAAUAAAGAAGUGCAUGACCUAAAGCUGCAGCCACUGAGCUGCCUGUUCGGGGUGCACGGAAAACAGGGUGUAACUUCAGUGUAUGAACACCACGGACUCCUCUACAGCAGCGGUAGGGAUGGCUGUGUGAGAGUUUUUAGAGUUCAGGCAGUACCACUGGAAAAACUUGAGGAAAACAGAAAAAAUAGUACCGGAAAGACAGUCGAGAACAAAGAACGGUUUCAGCUGGAGGUUCUGCGAGUUCAACGAGCCUGCAGGGGAAUGGAGUGGCUGGAGAGAGUUUUGAUUCUUGAACCUGAAAUUCCAGAGGAAGAGGAGGUCAGAGAGGAAUGUGAGAACCACUCUAAGACAAAGCAGAGCUUUAGAGGUGAAGAAGCAGAGACAGAAAGCAACGCAAGAGAAGCCAGGUUUGUCAUCGCUGGCUUCCACUCUGUCCACUUCGUGAUUUGGGACCCAGUGAGGCAGGAGAAGCUGUUGGCGGUGCCCUGUGGUGGGGGCCAUCGCUCUUGGACUCUCUGGCCAUCCCAGAAAGGGGUUUGGCCCGGAUAUGGAGCUCUGGUCUUCAUCAAGCACGGGGCUGUCCUGGCUUCGCAACCGCCCGGAGAGGAACCAAGCUGGGCUGGGAGGGCAGGAAAUACUGGAGGAUGGAGCCUGAGAGAGGGCAUCCAUGGGAGAGGGAUUGGGUGUGUAUGCAGGCUGGGGAGGAUAGAGGGAACUGGGAAUGACACACAAACAACUGGAAAUACGACUGGAACUGGGAGAAGGGAGGUGGAGCGAGAGGGAAGGCACUGGGAGGUGGUGGUGACGGGAGGAGAGGACACCAGCCUAACCGUCCUGGCGGUACAUCCCGACUCUGGCAACAUCAAAGUUCUCUCAGUUAUUACUGACCACAUCUCAAGCGUACGGACGGUGACAGCGAUAACACAUCCAGAGGGAGAGAGUGUGAACCAAUCACGGUCUCUCUCCGCCUUGCUCGUCUCAGCCGGCGGCCGGGCUCAAAUGCAGUGUUACCGCCUGUUGAUCGGCUGGGACAGGCAGAGACUGGUUCCCUCCUGCCAGGUGAUCCAGGUGGCCAGUCACCGAUUGGACGAACAGUGGGAGAGGAGGCGGAACCGACACAAGACGGUGAAAAUGGACCCGGAAACAAGGUACAUGUCUGUGGUGGUGGUGGAUGAAAGGGCAGACUGUGUUCUUCUGGCUCUGGCCUGCAGCGACGGAGCUGUCAGAAUGUUCUCGGUCAGUGAAGUUAAACGUCAGAUUGAUUUGUUGUGGGAGACUUUUUACCACCAGCGCUGUGUGCUCAGCGUCGCCACCUGCAGCCUGGAGGAUGGAAAAGGCAACAGGUAUAAGCUGCUGUUCAGUGCUGCAACAGAUGGGAAAAUUGCAGUGUGGGAUUUGACUGAAGCUUCUUCUCCAACCGAUACUUCAAGCAAUUCUCCAACUCCACCAAUCCCCUGCCUCGACGUUCCCGCCCACCAGAGCGGCAUCAACUCAUUGGCUGUUUGGGCAGAGAAACAAGAGGGCGGUUGCCUGGUAACCGUUGCUAGCGGAGGGGAUGAUGGGCAGCUGACAGUGUCCACGAUUAGGGUGCACUACCCAGAAGACAGGAAGACGGGGGGCAGCAGAGGGUUUUCUCAGACGUCUGAGCCACGGAUAUCUUCUUCACAAACCCUGUUCCAGCCCCCAAGCCAGCUUCAGCUCUGCCUCCACUCUCACUCCCACAUCCCACUGGCCCACGCUGCCCCUCUGACCGCCCUGAAGCUCCUGACCCCAGGCCUUGUGGUCUCUACUUCCUCAGAUCAGAGGGUUUGCCUGUGGAGUGUCUGCAGUACCGGUAUCAGCCACAGAAGGACGCUGUGCUCCCAUGUUGCAGACACUGCAGGACUCGCAGUGUGGGAGGGGCAGAUGAUGGACAGGAAGGAAGGAGAUGAAAAGGGGAAAAUAAGAUUCAAAUCUGAGCAGGAGAUUUCAAUUUGGAGAGGAAAAGGGAGUCAGACAGGAUUAGAAACGGAGGGUAAGACCACAGAGGACAGAGAGGAUGAGGCUGAGGGUGGGGAACCUGAUGAAGCAGUGAGCAAGACAGGUGACCCAGUUUGUGAGACCAGUGAUGAGACAAGACAUCAAAGAGAGAGUGACAGCGUGGUUAAGACAGAGAGUGAGGUGAACACUGAGACAGGCUUGAAAGAUUGUUGUGAGAGCAGGAAAAAGAGAGAGAAGAUGGGAUGGGUGCUGGUCUGUGGCCAGGGCUUCCAGCUACUCCGAGUCAGACAUACAGAGGUGGAUGCAGAGAUGUGGACAGAGGAAAGAGAGAUGAAUCACAGAGUUAAAGUGACUUUACAAGAGAAGUCAACAUAAGUGGAAUCAAAAAAUGUAAGUGGUCCAACCAAUAACUUUCUGAAUGAACUUUUUUUUUUAGAUUAUUUAUGAAUUGAAUGAAAAUUACAAGACUGCUGAAAUUAAUAUUAAAUUAAUUCACUUGGGUAACUUUGAAAGUACAUUUUUAUUAAAGGGAGUGUAUUCAUGCAUUCAUGUAUUCUCCAGCUUUCUUGUUAAUUGGCAAGUCUAUAUCUAAAAGAGAGACAGUUACAAGCAGGAGGGUUAUCAAACCUGUCUGACGAGAUAUUACACAAUUUAGUUGUAGUUGUUUAGUUAAACAAGUUCUUUCAUGAAGUUUUAAGUUAAAGUUUGUCUUGACCUCUACAAAAAGUACACCUGUCAUUCAUUUCCUCCAGCCUUAAAAAAAUCCACACACACAAAAUAAAUCAAAGAUGUGGGCAGUGAUUCUGUCUGGCAUCAUGCUCCAUUUCUGCUGGUAAUAACGCACAAAAAACACUUGGAGUUCAUCAAGGAAAAAUGUCAAAAAAAAAAUCAUAGCUGUUUCAAGAGAACAUUAAAACCAUCUCUGAUGUGUUUGGGCCAUCUGUGGUCUGCUUUGGGGAAUAGCACCACACAGCACAAAGAUGGCUGAAAUGACUGGAGUUAUUUAUAAUACACUAUGUUACAUCUCAGCCAGCCAGGAAAUAAAGCCCUUGUACUUGAAGAGAACCGUGGGACUCCCGUUAUCAGUAAGACCAAGGCCAAACCAAAGACUGACUUUACCAAAUGUCUCCAUGCACCAAAAUCUGAAAAGUAUUUGGGAGAUUUGUGGUUUAAAUGUAGUUUACGGUUAAAACGCCACCCUUCGUAACACCUGCUACUGAUUUGCUCUUGAGCAAGGCACUUAAUCCGGAUCAUUUUAGUGAAGAGCUGCUUUCCUACCAAUCACACAUGCCCACAAAAGGCAUGGUAUACUGUACGUACUGUACAUAAGAAAUUACAGUAUAUACACAUUGUAACAGGUGGUCUCUGUUUAGACCUGGCUGGUCCUGUAGAGCAGUGGUUCCCCACCUGGGAAACAGAAACCCAAUGAGUGGUUGCAGAUAGGGAAUUUAAAAAAAAAUCAUAUUUCAAUUAUGAUUAAGGAAGAUUUUUUUUCUGAUGAGAUCCUGGAUGCUGGACUUCAUACUGCUCAAAUUAUUCAAAUAAAACAGUCAGCUUGGCUUAUAAGCUGGAGAGAGAACUGACAGAAUCGUGUGUUUUGUUCAGUCCUCACUCGUUCAAAGGCUGUCUGAGGGUUGAGACUUGGUUCUAGGCUAAGGGGUUAGCGUUGGUGGCAAGAAAAUACAUCAGUGAAGGUCGUCACAUGUACAGAAGCACCAAGGUGUGUGUCAGUGUGUUUAUUUCCAUUGCAACAAUUUGCUUUUCAGGGCACACUUUGCAUUAAUAGUAUUACACACAGAAAAAAAGUGUUUGUGUGAGUGUGAUGGAGUAUAAACACUUCAGUGUAUCCAGCCACAGGGAAAUUAAAUAGUAUUUCUUUUGGGAUUAUUAAAGACUUAUUAAAGAGCGUGAACAUGAAGUGUGCGUUUGUUCCAAGGCGACGGUUUGUACAACACUCAAACUGUGAUUACUUUGUGUGCACGUGUACCGAAAUGCUAAUUUGGCAGCGUAGAAGCUGAAUGUGUUGUGAGAUGAAAUGCUAAUACUGUCUAAGUGGCAGGUCGAUAUGGGACUGACUGCACAAUUAUUUGCAUAUUUGUUGUGUGUGUCUGCCUGGUAUGCAAAUGUAGCUGUGUCAGAUGAAGUGUGAGACUGCAAGCAGCAUGUUCACCUGUGCCACGCUAAAUGUCAUACACUGUACAUUAGAGUGAACUUGUACGUUUGUGUGCGCUUCAUUGUGCGAUGAUUAGCAGUCACCUGGCUGGAAUUUAAAUGUAGCUGUCAGAUUACCUGUAUUCCUAGGUGUGUGUGUGCGUGUGUGCGUGUGUGUGUGUGCGUGCACGUGUGUGCGUGUGGUUGUCCAAAAUUUUGAUGUUACUGAAGAAGUCAGCUAACUAAGAUGUGCGUAUACCUGCUUGCAUACGCUAUUACCAGUGUUUGUGUGUGUGGUGGUCUAGGUAGGGGUCAGAGCCCAUGAAGGGGCAGACUGCAGGCAUCCAUGAAUAUUUAAAUAUUUAAGCCUCGUCUCACGUUGCCUUUUGUCGAGCACCAUCUCACCACCUGCCACUCACAACACUGAGAAAGAAGGAGGAAAAGAAAGGAGGAAGGAGAGUUAAUGUCACCCUGAAAAUGAACAGUGAAGGGGGGGAGAGAGGUGGAGAAAAGAUGAAAUGAAAGGAGCGACCUGAGGAGGGGUGGGGGUGGGGGGGGUGAAAGCUCCUGCCACUCAAAAACAGGGAGAAAGGCAGAGAGGGAAGAAAACAAGCACAUGUCUUGUCUUUGUUCCAAGGGAGGGAAAAGAAAGAAGGAGGGAGAGAACACAGGAGCCAAAGUACUUGUAUAACCACCACUAUCACUUACAAGGGGGAAGAAAGGGUGAGACAAAAGGAAGAGGGUGAAAGGACCAGUACUGACAAGGUAAAGGUGAGGUUGGCGAGGGGAGAGAAAAAGAGGGGGAGAGAGAAAUGGAGAAGGCACCUGCUUCAGCGAGCGUCACUGCUGAUGUUAGCUGGGUCACAGAAGAGAAAGAGGGAAAGGCGAGAGAGGAAGACAGAGAGGAGGGAGGCAAAGAAGUGAAGACAUUACAGACGAGGCAGAAAAAUAAAAAGGACAGGACUGGUUGACGAGCGAGGGAGUGUCAGAUGAGACACAGAGGGGAUGAUGAUUCCUAAAACCUGAGAAGACUGUGCUCUUUAACCACAUUUGAUCUGAAUGAAUCAUCUUCAGUCUUCAAACAACAUGUGGAGAGACAGGAAGUGACUCUUGUGGAAGCCAGCAUGAGAAAUCAUCAGCAUCAGUGUGUGUGCUGGUAGGGAAAAUUUCCCUGCGUCAUCUUGACGACCCCUGUGUGUGUGUGUGUGUGUGUGUGUGUGUGUAUGUGAGAGAGUGUGUGUCGUGGGGGAUGUUUUGCCUGACCCUGGAGAACAAGGAGUAAGAGUGCGGCCGUCAAAGUGCAGAGGGAGUGACAUUUUACACCCAUCAAAAAGGCUUCUGCGUUGGAGAUGCCACGAGAACGGCUGCCUCUCAUUGGUUCAUCUGGGAGUAAAACGACAGCCAAGCCUCCACGCAUCUCCCCGACUCGCCAGCGUUCCCACCAGGCCAGUCACCAAAAACGCAGCCAGCAGCAGACGUCCUCAUCCUGUUAUCCUCAUCCAGGGCCUUCUUCCAUCCUCCUCUCCGAUACCGCCAUGGCACCUUGGGGAGGCUUGGCCCUCUCCGAAUCCUCCUUUACCUCAAUCCCUCCACCACCUCCUUCACGGCCCCCUCAACCUCCACCUCCACCCCCUCCUGCUCCUCAGCCCACUCCAUCCACCCCUUAUCGUGGGAGCCAGGACGAAGAUGAAGAAGCUUCAACCUCAAGUUUUAACUCGGAGGUUCCGUCUCCACCUCUGGCUGUCCUACAGGACAAAUCAGGUGUAGGAGAUAGAGGGUUGCGGGCGAGGCGGAGGGUGUUGCCCCAGCGUCGGAUGCCACGUCCUCCCCGCCUCCCACCGCUGCAUCCAGUCACCAAUCUCAGCUUCUCCCGGAGCUUCACUUUCUCCUUCUUCGAGCUGCCGCUGCACCAGUCGCCUCGCUGCCGGGCUGAACGCAUCAGAAACCUCAUGCUGCUUUUGAGACAGAUACACUACUGAAGAAUCAGAACUGCAUGGACAGUUCAUUCUUACAUUUACCUACUCAUAGAACAAGAGAGUUGUGUUUUCUGUUUAUAUUUUUUAUUUUAUCAGUGUUACUAGUAACAUUUCAGUCUCAUUGUCAGA